rnacentral:sRNA from 1 species
AAAAAAGAAACAAAAAAC